rnacentral:rRNA from 1 species
CCGAAGGUGUGGGUGGUGAUUGGGAUGAAGUUGUAACAAGGUAGCCGUAGGGGAACCUGUGGGUUCAAGUUUUCGGACAAGAACCUGCGGGGGAGAGUGGCGAAAGGGUGAGUAACGCGUGGGUAAUCUGCCUCUAAGUUGGGGACAACGGUUGGAAACGGCCGCUAAUACCGAAUGUGGUCCCCCGAGGCAUCUCGGGGUGAUCAAAGGUGGGGACCCUUCGGGGCCUGCCGCUUGGAGAGGAGCCCGCGUACCAUCAGCUUGUUGGUGGGGUAACGGCCUACCAAGGCUUACGGUUAGCUGGUCUGAGAGGAUGGUCAGCCACACUGGGACUGAGACACUGCCCAGACUCCUACGGGAGGCUGCAGUCGAGGAUCAUCGGCAAUGCGCGAAAGCGUGACCAUGCGACGCUGCGUGGAGGAUGACGGCCCUCGGGUUGUAAACUCCUGUCAUUCGGGACAAAUCGUCCGGCCCUGAAUAGGGGCUGGGCUUGAUGGUACCGGAAGAGGAAGCCACGGCUAACUCUGUGCCAGCAGCCGCGGUAAUACAGAGGUGGCGAGCGUUGUUCGGAUUUACUGGGCAUAAAGGGUGCGUAGGUGGCAGCGUGUGUCGAGUGUGAAAGCCCACUGCCCAACAGUGGAAAUGCACUCGAAACUGCGUGGCUAGAGUACAGGAGGGGAGAGCGGAAUUCUUGGUGUAGCGGUGAAAUGCGUUGAUAUCAAGAAGAACACCGGUGGCGAAGGCGGCUCUCUGGAAUGUUACUGACACUGAUGCACGAAAGCUGGGGGAGCGAACAGGAUUAGAUACCCUGGUAGUCCCAGCCGUAAACGGUGCGCACUUGGUGUGGGAGGUAUUGACCCCUUCCGUGCCGGAGUUAACGCGUUAAGUGCGCCGCCUGGGGAGUACGGCCGCAAGGCUAAAACUCAAAGAAAUUGACGGGGGCCCGCACAAGCGGAGGAGCAUGUGGCUUAAUUCGACGCAACGCGAAGAACCUUACCAGGGCUUGACAUGCAGCUGCAAAUCCGGUGAAAGCCGGACGUCCUUCGAGGGUGCUGCACAGGUGCUGCAUGGCUGUCGUCAGUUCGUGCCGUGAGGUGUUGGGUUAAGUCUCGCAACGAACGCAACCCUUGUGUCUAGUUGCCACCCUUGCGUAUGCGAGGAGCACUCUAGACAGACUGCCCGUACAAGCG